UCUGGAGGGAGUCUCAGAACAAUGCCAUGAUUGAGCUCAGACCCAGGGUGUGGGCGCUGUGGGGGGGACACGUGCGAGUGGAUGUGGAUCAGCGAGUCCUAGGCUUACUCCCAGCCCAAUGGGGUUGGGGGCUGGGAAUCAGGACGAGGGGCACAGGGGCUCUCUCCUGAUGAGGUCUGCUUUUCCCAAAACUAGUGCUGCGAGUGGGACCCACGGCAGCAACUUACUCAUCCCGGGGAACAGGGGCUGGCGUGUUUGUCUGCGAGGAGGGCACCCUUCCGGGACCCAAGGAUUCUCCGGCGGGGGUGGGGGGGCUCUGCUCUCCAUCUCCUAGGAAGCCAGCAUGGGAGGAAACAGGCCAGAACUAGGUGGGACUGGGGAUACUUGCUGCUUCCGGUGGGAGAUGAGUUCCUCCCCAGGCUGGGGCAGGGUUCUGGGGGGUUCCAGGGGGUUCCAAGGGGCUCCAGAGCCUGCAGGGGCUGGAGGAAAGGGCAGCCAUCUCCGGGGGGCAUCUGAGUACCCUGCAGCCCAGAGCUGGAGUUGGGGGGACUCUCCUCCGGUGAUGGCGGCCAAAUGGAGGCCUCACCUUUCUCUAGGACACGUGCCCCAGCCAGCCCUAGUGGGCUGCUCGAGCACACGGUGGGCCCUCACCUGGCCCUCCUACGCCCCAGCAGGACCCUGAGGCCCUUCCAGGACUCACUCCAGCCUAGACGUGCGGGGACUGACCUGUCCUGAGCUGGACGGCCAAGACGCGGCGGCGGUGGCCGUGCUGGGCUCCGGCCCAGGGUGGUCUCCGGGUUGGUUGGUGCUGGGAGUGUGAGGGAGAGGGUUGCUUUGGUGGCUUGGCCGAGGGGACGGCAAAGAUGUCCUCCAUGCUGGCCCGUGCUCCUCCUUCCCCACAGACAUGGCCGCAUGCCGGUCUCCAUCAGUCCAUCCUUGACCAUCUCCCCAAGACUCGAAGACCCACAGUGGCCGCUCCCACACCGGCCGGCUGGGAAAAGGCCCACGGUGGAGGGUGCACGCCGGGGCAGCCAGGGAUUGGUCACUGCCUGAAUGUCCCCGGACGGAUGCCCGUGUGCCCUUGGGCAGCCUUCCCCCCGGACAGGCUGUCCAGGCCGGGGAAACCCUAAGCCAAAGGGAUUAAGAAGAAAGGACAGAAUCGGCCGUUCCUUUGGCCGUGCUCAUUUGUGCCUCAUUUAGUGUAUAUUUGUUCAGUGGGUAAAAACACGGAGGUGAUGACGCCAAGGUCGGGAUGUGCUCCCAUCACUCAGGUCAGCCGCACGGAGGCCCGCCCCGCCCGCCCGCCUGCCCUGCCAGCCUGCCUCUCCCCAGCAGCCAUCUUGCACAUUCCUGUGGUCAGCCGGGAGGGCCACGGGAUCCUUCCCCAGCUCUGGGGUGACCGGAUGGGGAUGCGAGUGCAACCCUCUGCUCAGGCGCUGGAACCGGCCCGGGGCCCCUGACCCAAGUCCUGAGCAUCCUCCCUGCAGGCCCCUGUCCCAGAUGGAGCUGGAACCUCCAGCCUCGCUAGUCUCUGAGCUAGGGGUCCAACCCUGGAUGGCCAC
rnacentral:lncRNA from 1 species